UAAGGAAUAUUGGACAAUGGAGGCAACUCUGAUCCAGCCAUGCCGCGUGAAGGAAUAAGGCCCUAUGGGUUGUAAACUUCUUUUAGACGGGACAAAACCCCUUUACGUGUAAAGGGUUGAUGGUACUGUCAGAAUAAGCAUCGGCUAACUUCGUGCCAGCAGCCGCGGUAAUACGAAGGAUGCAAGCGUUAUCCGGAAUUAUUGGGUUUAAAGGGUGCGUAGGCGGUUUUGUAAGACAGAUGUGAAAUCCCCGGGCUUAACCUGGGAACUGCGUUUGUGACUGCAAGGCUGGAGUACGGCAGAGGGGGGUGGAAUUCCACGUGUAGCAGUGAAAUGCGUAGAGAUGUGGAGGAACACCGAUGGCGAAGGCAGCCCCCUGGGCCUGUACUGACGCUCAUGCACGAAAGCGUGGGGAGCAAACA
rnacentral:rRNA from 1 species